rnacentral:rRNA from 1 species
AUGAACGCUGGCGGUGUGCCUUAAGCAUGCAAGUCGAACGGAGAGAUGAGUCCCGCAAUGUGCGGGAUUUGUCAAUCAGUGGCGGACGGGUGAGUAUAAGUAGGGAACGCACCCAGAACUAUCGCAUAGCUCGUCGAAAGACGGGGUAAUACGGUAUGUGAUCGCAAGAUUAAAGUCGCAAGACGGUUCUGGAACGGCCCUAUUCCCAUCAGUUAGUUGGUGAGGUAAUGGCUCACCAAGGCAAUGACGGGUAGCGGUUCUGAGAGGAUGAUCCGCCACACUGGUACUGAGACACGGACCAGACUCCUACGGGAGGCAGCAGUGAGGAAUAUUGCACAAUGGGGGGAACCCUGAUGCAGCAACGCCGCGUGGAGGAUGACGCAUUUCGGUGUGUAAACUCCUUUUAUAUGUCAAGAAAAUGACGGUAGCAUAUGAAUAAGCACCGGCUAACUCCGU